UACGUAGGGUGCAAGCGUUGUCCGGAAUUAUUGGGCGUAAAGGGCUCGUAGGCGGUCCAUCGCGUCAGGAGUGAAAAGCUGGGGCUUAACCCCAGUCCUGCUUCCGAUACGGGUGGACUAGAGGUAGGUAGGGGAGAACGGAAUUCCUGGUGUAGCGGUGAAAUGCGCAGAUAUCAGGAGGAACACCGGUGGUGUAGACGGCUCUCUGGACCGUAACUGACGCUGAGACACGAAAGCGUGGGUAGCAAACAGG
rnacentral:rRNA from 1 species